UGGGUCUUUGCGGGCGAGAUGAGAGGUUUGUGGAUUCAACUGGCCUACAAAGUCCCAGU
rnacentral:pre_miRNA from 1 species